AUGUAUACCGCGCUUUUGUUUCUUGCUUUGUUCUCGUGCUUUUCUCUCAUAGCGGGAAAGUCGCUUGAAGCAGGUGAAGCGUGUGUUGGGAUUCAGAGAGAAGAUUCCUAUGACUUUGAGCUGCCCAACGCUGUAGCGGUGAACGUGCAAGACCCUGCGUGUGAUGCGGAGUGGACCAUUGACCAAUUCACAGCAUUCCUGGAUGGAAAUUCAACUCACUGUCCUCAUCCCUUCAAAAAAGUGACUCGUCGGGGGAUCAGUGUGUCUUACUGUCCAGCUUCAGUCAAAUUCCACGUCUCUUGUCCAAUAUACACCAAAGUCCUCACAUGUUGUUGCACAAAUUCCACCAAAAAUCCAGUUUAUAACACAACCCUGCCAUCUGGAGAUAUGUCUUCCUCUGCCAUCAAAACUGAUUCAUCAGUGAGGAUACACUAUUGUGCCAUUGCUGUUGCUGUCACGUUUGCCUUAACCCUCGUCAUCUUGGCUUUCCUCAUCUGCAGGACAAACAGCAGUGCAAAAUAUGCUCCUACAAGAGCCUCAGCUGAUGGACAAAACCAGCCUUGUUCAGUAUAA
ensembl:lncRNA